AAACCAGAAGAUUGGACGUUAUCUUGGGGCGGUUCAGGGACCAUUUAUGGUUGGGGCCAUAAUCAUCGAGGUCAAUUAGGCGGUAUUGAAGGAGCGAAAGUGAAAUGCCCCACGCCGUGUGAAGCGUUAUCGAGUUUGAGACCGGUUCAAAUUUUAGGGGGAGAACAAACUCUAAUUGCUGUUACUGCCGAUGGAAAAGUUUAUACAACAGGCUUUGGCGCUGGUGGAAGAUUAGGUUUAGGUGGAACCGAUUCAGUUUUAGUGCCAACAUUAAUCGAAUCGAUACAACACGUGUUCAUUAAAAAAGUUGCCGUAAACUCUGGCGGUAAACAUUGCUUGGCUUUAUCGGCCGACAACGACGUGUAUUCUUGGGGAGAAGGCGACGAUGGCAAAUUAGGACAUGGCAAUAAAAAAGAUUAUGAUCGGCCGAAAGUUAUUGAAGCACUUCAAGGUUAUGAAAUUGUAGACAUCGCAUGCGGCGGUGCGCAUUCUGCCGCUAUCACCAGUUCAGGGCAGUUAUUUACUUGGGGUAAAGGUCGUUAUGGGCGAUUAGGACAUGGAGAUAGUGAAGAUCAAACUAAACCAAAAUUAGUAA